GACGAACGCUGGCGGCGUGCCUAAUACAUGCAAGUCGAGCGAAUCACUGGGAGCUUGCUCCCGGUGGUUAGCGGCGGACGGGUGAGUAACACGUGGGCAACCUGCCUGUAAGACUGGGAUAACACCGGGAAACCGGUGCUAAUACCGGAUAAUCCUUUUCUGCUCAUGCAGGAAAGCUGAAAGUCGGUUUCGGCUGACACUUACAGAUGGGCCCGCGGCGCAUUAGCUAGUUGGUGAGGUAACGGCUCACCAAGGCGACGAUGCGUAGCCGACCUGAGAGGGUGAUCGGCCACACUGGGACUGAGACACGGCCCAGACUCCUACGGGAGGCAGCAGUAGGGAAUCUUCCACAAUGGACGAAAGUCUGAUGGAGCAACGCCGCGUGAGCGAUGAAGGCCUUCGGGUCGUAAAGCUCUGUUGUUAGGGAAGAACAAGUACCGGAGUAACUGCCGGUACCUUGACGGUACCUAACCAGAAAGCCACGGCUAACUACGUGCCAGCAGCCGCAGUAAUAC
rnacentral:rRNA from 1 species